CCUACGGGCGGCAGCAGUGAGGAAUAUUGGUCAAUGGGCGGGAGCCUGAACCAGCCAAGUCGCGUGAGGGAAGACGGUCCUAUGGAUUGUAAACCUCUUUAGGCGGGGAGCAAUGCCGGGCACGCGUGCCCGGAGGGAGAGUACCCGCAGAAUAAGCAUCGGCUAACUCCGUGCCAGCAGCCGCGGUAAUACGGAGGAUGCGAGCGUUAUCCGGAUUUAGUGGGUUUAAAGGGUGCGUAGGCGGAUUUUUAAGUCAGCGGUAAAAUGUCCGGGCUCAACCCGGGCCGGCCGUUGAAACUGGGGAUCUUGAGUGGGCGAGAAGUAUGCGGAAUGCGUGGGGUAGCGGUGAAAUGCAUAGAUAUCACGCAGAACUCCGAUUGCGAAGGCAGCAUACCGGCGCCCGACUGACGCUGAGGCACGAAAGCGUGGGGAUCGAACAGGAUUAGAUACCCUGGUAGUC
rnacentral:rRNA from 1 species